GUGCCAGCAGCCGCGGUAAUACGUAGGGGGCAAGCGUUGUCCGGAAUCAUUGGGCGUAAAGAGCGUGUAGGCGGCUCGGUAAGUCCGCUGUGAAAGUCCAGGGCUCAACCCUGGAAUGCCGUUGGAAACUGUCGAGCUAGAGUCCGGAAGAGGCGAGUGGAAUUCCUGGUGUAGCGGUGAAAUGCGCAGAUAUCGGGAAGAACACCCGUGGCGAAGGCGGUUCUCUGGGACGGUACUGACGCUGAGACGCGAAAGCGUGGGGAGCGAACAGGAUUAGAUACCCUGGUAGUCCACGCCGUAAACGAUGGGCACUAGGUGUGGGUAUCGACUUCCGCUGUGCCGAAGCUAACGCAUUGAGUGCCCCGCCUGGGGAGUACGGCCGCAAGGCUAAAACUCAAAUGAAUUGACGG
rnacentral:rRNA from 1 species